rnacentral:rRNA from 1 species
AAAAGAAACUAACAAGGAUUCCCUCAGUAGCGGCGAGCGAAGCGGGAAAAGCCCAGAAUGAAAAGCCUGCUUGCAGGCGUUGUAGUUGAGCGGCCUCGGGGUGUCAGUGCGGGCAAGUGGCAUGGAAAUGCUCACCGUGGAGGGUGAAAGUCCCGUCCAACCUGCACAGGACACCCCGCACCAGGACGUUUCAGGCGAGUCGGGUAGCUUGGGAAUGCUGCUCUAAUUGGUGGUAAAUCUCAUCAAAGGCUAAAUAACGGUGGGAGACCGAUAGCGAACAAGUACCGUGAGGGAAAGAUGACAAGCACUUUGAAAAGAGGGUGAAAAGAGCCUGAAACCGUUACGGGGGAAGCGGAUUGCGUUGGAUUGACGGGCGCCAGUGUGUUCAGCCUUUUAGGUGUAUUGACAUUGGUGCUUAUCUGCUGUGGGUUUUCGACGACUGAUUUUGAGUCGUUGGAGGCUGAGGGCUCCAUUUUAUAUGUGAAGGACAGCAGAGCGACGACGCGAUACGACCCGUCUUGAAACACGGACCAAGGAGUCUAGCGCGGGUGCGAGUCGGAGGGUGCAAGCCCGUGGGCGAAGUGAAAGCAAGUGUAAAAACGAGCAGUUUGGGGCGGCACGGAAUCGCUGAUUCCACGACCGACCCAGAGCAGUUGCGCUGGGACCCGAAAGAUGGUGAACUAUGCCGGAGUAGGGCAAAGCCAGAGGAAACUCUGGUGGAGGCUCGUAGCGGUGCUGACGUGCAAAUCGCUCGUCGAACUUGGGUAUAGGGGCGAAAGACUAAUCGAACCAUCUAGUAGCUGGUUCCCUCCGAAGUUUCUCUCAGGAUAGCGGGCCGACAUUCCAGUUGUUUUGUGCGGUAAAGCGAAUGAUUAGCGCAUUCGGGGGCAUUUGGCCUCUGGGCGAUUCUCAAACUUUCAAUGCGCAAGGGCGCCGCUGCUUGGUUGAGCGGCGCCGGAAAAAACGUCGGCCCUGUGGGCCACUUUUGGUAAGCAGAACUGGCGAUACGGGAUGAACCGUAAGCGCGGUUAAGGCGCCGGACUGCCCGCUUAUAGACCCCACAAAAGGUGUUGAUUCAUCCAGACAGCAGGACGGUGGCCAUGGAAGUCGGAAUCCGCUAAGGAGUGUGUAACAACUCACCUGCCGAAUGAAUUAGCCCUGAAAAUGGAUGGCGCUGAAGCGGGCGGCCGACACCGCGCCGUUCGAACUAUUUUAUGUUUCGGAUGAGUAGGAGGGCGUGGCGGCCGUGUCGAAGCGCGCGUGCAGACGCGUGUGGAACGGCCGCUAGUGCAGAUCUUGGUGGUAGUAGCAAAUAUUCAAGCGAGAUCCUUGAAGGGCGAAGCGGGGAAGGGUUCCACGCGAACAUUGAUUGGGCGUGGGUGAGUCGUUCCUAAGCCGAGUGGCGAUUGCUAAGUAGCGGCGAAAGGGAAGCGGGUUGACAUUCCCGCACACGGAUGUGGAGGCGGCGACGCUUUUUUUUGUUGGGGUAAACACGCUGGCGACGGCGCUGGGCAGAGUUGUCUUUUCUGUUUGACCGUGUGCGCGCGCAGUGUGGAAUCCGCUUGUCGGGAGAAACACGCGCGCGCGGGCAGAGCGCCGGGGCUUUUCCGGCGUCCAGCUCGCCGUCGACGGCCCUUGAAACUUUACCUACUGAUUUAAAUCCACGCCGUGGCGUACCGAUCACCGCAUCAGGUCCCCGAGGUGAACAGCCUCUGCUCCAUAUGAACAAUGCAGGUAAGGGAAGUCGGCAAAUUGGACCCGUAACUUUGGGAAAAGGGUUGGCUCUAGUGCUGCGUGGGAUUGGUUGUCGGUGUGUAGGUGUGAGGNGGGGCGGCAGAGCGCGCCUGUUGUCUUCGGAUGACUCGUGUUCUCCGCUGCCCUUCCACGCUCUCUACCCCCGACGACGCCCACAGCAUGCAGCAGACUAGAACUGCAACGGGCAAAGGGAAUCCGACUGUUUAAUUAAAACAAAGCAUUGCGAGGGCCGUGGCCGGUGAUGACGCAAUGUGAUUUCUGCUCAGUGCUCUGAAUGUCAAAGUGAAGAGAUUCAAUCAAGCGCGGGUAAACAGCGGGAGUAACUAUGACUCUCUUAAGGUAGCCAAAUGCCUCGUCAUCUAAUUAGUGACGCGCAUGAAUGGAUUAACGAGAUUCCUACUGUCCCUAUCUGCUUCUAGCGAAACCACAGCCGAGGGAACGGGCUCGGCGAAAUCGGCGGGGAAAGAAGACCCUGUUGAGCUUGACUCUAUUCUAAUUUUGUGAAGCAAGUUGGGAGGUGUAGCAUAGGUGGGAGCGCUUGCGCGUCCGUGAAAUACCACUACUCCCAGUCUUGCUUUACUUACUGGGUUGGUGUGGAUCUGGUCAUCGACCAUUUUUUAGAACCAACACGCUUUGCGUGGACCACAGCCCAGCACACAUUUAGGAGGGGAGUUUGGCUGGGGCGGCACAUCUUCUACAAGACAACGAAGGUGUCCAAAGAUGAGCUCAGUGAGAACAGAAAUCUCACGUAGCGCAAAAGGGUAAAAGCUCGUUUGAUUUCGAUUUUCAGUGCGAGUCGAAAACGCGAAAGCGUGGCCUAUCGAUCCUUUUAUUAUUCGAGAUUUGAAGCAAGAGGUGUCAGAAAAGUUACCACAGGGAUAACUGGCUUGUGGCGGCCAAGCGUUCAUAGCGACGUCGCUUUUUGAUCCU